rnacentral:rRNA from 1 species
CCCGCACAAGCGGUGGAUGAUGUGGAUUAAUUCGAUGCAACGCGAAAAACCUUACCUACCCUUGACAUGUACGGAAUCCCUGAGAGAUUAGGGAGUGCUCGAAAGAGAACCGUAACACAGGUGCUGCAUGGCUGUCGUCAGCUCGUGUCGUGAGAUGUUGGGUUAAGUCCCGCAACGAGCGCAACCCUUGUCAUUAGUUGCUACGAAAGGGCACUCUAAUGAGACUGCCGGUGACAAACCGGAGGAAGGUGGGGAUGACGUCAAGUCCUCAUGGCCCUUAUGGGUAGGGCUUCACACGUCAUACAAUGGUACAUACAGAGGGCCGCCAACCCGCGAGGGGGAGCUAAUCCCAGAAAGUGUAUCGUAGUCCGGAUUGUAGUCUGCAACUCGACUACAUGAAGUUGGAAUCGCUAGUAAUCGCGGAUCAGCAUGUCGCGGUGAAUACGUUCCCGGGUCUUGUACACACCGCCCGUCACACCAUGGGAGCGGGUUUCACCAGAAGUAGGUAGCCUAACCGUAAGGAGGGCGCUUACCACGGUGGGAUUCGUGACUGGGGUGAAGUCGUAACAAGGUAACCGUA